AGAAUCAACGCUGGCGGCGUGCCUAACACAUGCAAGUCGCACGAGAAAGGGGAGCAAUCCCUGAGUACAGUGGCGCACGGGUGAGUAACACGUGAAUUAUCUACCUCCGAGUGGGGAAUAAACUGAGAGAAAUCUUAGCUAAUACCGCAUAACACUUACGAGUCAAAGCAGCAAUGCGCUUGGAGAGGAGUUCGCGGCCGAUUAGUUAGUUGGCGGGGUAAUGGCCCACCAAGACGAUGAUCGGUA
rnacentral:rRNA from 1 species